AUUGAACGCUGGCGGCAUGCCUAACACAUGCAAGUCGAACGGUAACAGGCAAAGCUUGCUUUGCGCUGACGAGUGGCGGACGGGUGAGUAACGCGUAGGAAUCUGCCUUAAAGUGGGGGACAACCCGGGGAAACUCGGGCUAAUACCGCAUGUGCCCUUCGGGGUAAAGCUGGGGAUCUUCGGACCUGGCGCUUUAAGAGGAGCCUGCGUUGGAUUAGCUAGUUGGUAGGGUAAAGGCCUACCAAGGCGACGAUCCAUAGCUGGUCUGAGAGGAUGAUCAGCCACACUGGAACUGAGACACGGUCCAGACUCCUACGGAGGCAGCAGUGGGGAAUAUUGGACAAUGGGCGAAAGCCUGAUCCAGCAAUGCCGCGUGUGUGAAG
rnacentral:rRNA from 1 species